CCUUUCACUAGACCAGGUUGCUCAGGGCAUCAUCCAGUCUGGCCUUGAGCACUCUCCGGGAUGGGCCAUCCACAGCUUAUCUGGGCAACCUGUGCCAGUGCCUCACCACCCUCACAGUGCUGAAUAUUUUU